UACUCCUUCUCUCUCCCUAUCUCUCUCUAAUUCUUCUUCGCCCGAAAUCGGGCAGUUCCUCCCAUUUUCCCGGCGCUCCCCACACCGGCGACCGCCACUCCCAACUGAGCUAUCCCUGCCGUCGAUUCGUCCACCGCCACUGCCUCCGUCAUACGCCGCUGCUCCGUCCCCUCCGGGAGACGCUGUCGUCGCUGCCGGGAGACACGACGCCGCUGCUGUCAGCAGCGUCGUCGGCCAGUCUCUCCCACUCCGUUGCCCCGAUCUACCCCGAAACAGCCCCGACGCCUCCGAUUCCAAACCGGUUCGUUAAAGGUUAUUGCAGAAGAAAUUGAUAUACCUUUGGAGAUGAGAAAUUGCCUAGCAGCAGAAGGAAUUGAAUUCACGGCAGUUUUGUAUUUUUUUUAUCCUCAAACUGUGAUGUCAAGCAAGAAUUGUGGCAGGAGUCAGUAAAUUGCGAUUUUGUACUCGCAGAAUUGAAUUUGAAGGGAUAAUACCUUUAGUUU